AGGAAAAGGUUGGUAUUUUGUAGGCAAAAAUCUACGAAGCUAUUUUCGAAGCCCUUUUCCUAGGUCAACAAACCAAUGGGUUCAAUUCCCAUCCUAAUACCAGAAUUGAGGAUGCUCAGUCGGUGAGCAAAAGCACAAGACUUCGGACAUUACAGCAGCUAGUAGUUGCCUAAACCCAUUGCAAUAUAUGGGACAGUAGAGGCCGCAAACCUUUACUGUGUAGUGAACAUUCUAAUAGGCCGCCUCAGAGAGAGGGCGCCUACUAAUGGUGAGGGAGCCAACCCUUGUAACUGCAAAGCGUGGUAUAAAACCACUAUGCAGGCUAAGUCUAAGUCGCUGAACAGCUGUAAUGUAAUUAGGCAUCGGAUAAAUACGCAAUUCUCUAUGCAAUGAGAAGCACGUGGAAAAUUAGUGAAAGGCUACAGCUAUAAUCCUAAGAAAGUUUAUCCAAAAGCGAAGGUAUUCUCAGAACGCU
rnacentral:sRNA from 1 species